UAAGCUGAAGCCAAUAAGGCACCUAACUGUUAAUUAGGCCACUGUUUUCUAUAACCUGCUUAG
rnacentral:tRNA from 1 species